GCACAAGCGGUGGAUGAUGUGGUUUAAUUCGAUGCAACGACGAAAACCUUACCCACCUUUGACAUGUACGGAAUCCUUUAGAGAUAGAGGAGUGCUCGAAGGAGAGCCGUAACACAGGUGCUGCAUGGCUGUCGUCAGCUCGUGUCGUGAGAUGUUGGGUUAAGUCCCGCAACGAGCGCAACCCUUGUCAUUAGUUGCUACAUUCAGUUGGGCACUCUAAUGAGACUGCCGGUGACAAACCGGAGGAAGGUGGGGAUGACGUCAAGUCCUCAUGGCCCUUAUAGGUGGGGCUACACACGUCAUACAAUGGAUGGUACAAAGGGUCGCCAACCCGCGGGGGGGAGCCAAUCCCAUAAAGCCAUUCGUAGUCCGGAUCGCAGUCUGCAACUCGACUGCGUGAAGUCGGAAUCGCUAGUAAUCGUGGAUCAGCAUGUCACGGUGAAUACGUUCCCGGGUCUU
rnacentral:rRNA from 1 species